rnacentral:rRNA from 1 species
AGAGUUUGAUCAUGGCUCAGAACGUACGCUGGCGGCACGCCUAACACAUGCAAGUCGAACGAAGUAGCAAUACUUAGUGGCAGACGGGUGAGUAACAUGUGGGUAUCUGCCCUUUGGCCUGGAAUAACACGAGGAAACUUGUGCUAAUACUGGAUAAGUCUUUACGGAGAAAGCUUUAUGCACCAUUGGAUGAGCCCGCACUUGAUUAGUUUGUUGGUGGGGUAAUGGCCUACCAAGACUGUGAUCAAUAGCUGAUUUGAGAGGAUGAUCAGCCACAUUGGGACUGAGACACGGCCCAAACUCCUACGGGAGGCAGCAGUGGGGAAUCUUGCACAAUGGAGGAAACUCUGAUGCAGCGAUGCCGCGUGAGUGAAGAAGGCCCUUGGGUUGUAAAGCUCUUUCGUCGGGGAAGAAAAUGACUGUACCCGAAUAAGAAGGUCCGGCUAACUUCGUGCCAGCAGCCGCGGUAAUACGAAGGGACCUAGCGUAGUUCGGAAUUACUGGGCUUAAAGAGUUCGUAGGUGGUUGAAAAAGUUGGUGGUGAAAUCCCAGAGCUUAACUCUGGAACUGCCAUCAAAACUUUUCAGCUAGAGUUUGAUAGAGGAAAGCAGAAUUUCUAGUGUAGAGGUGAAAUUCGUAGAUAUUAGAAAGAAUACCAAUUGCGAAGGCAGCUUUCUGGAUCAUUACUGACACUGAGGAACGAAAGCAUGGGUAGCGAAGAGGAUUAGAUACCCUCGUAGUCCAUGCCGUAAACGAUGUGUGUUAGACGUUGGAAAUUUAUUUUCAGUGUCGCAGCGAAAGCGAUAAACACACCGCCUGGGGAGUACGACCGCAAGGUUAAAACUCAAAUGAAUUGACGGGGACCCGCACAAGUAGUGGAGCAUGUGGUUUAAUUCGAAGAUACGCGCAGAACCUUACCAACACUUGACAUGUUCGUCGCGACUUUAAGAGAUUAAAGUUUUCGGUUCGGCCGGACGAAACACAGGUGCUGCAUGGCUGUCGUCAGCUCGUGUCGUGAGAUGUUGGGUUAAGUCCCGCAACGAGCGCAACCCUCACUUUUAGUUGCCAUCAUUAAGUUGGGCACUCUGAAAGAACUGCCAGUGAUAAGCUGGAGGAAGGUGGGGAUGACGUCAAGUCCUCAUGGCCCUUACGUGUUGGGCUACACACGUGCUACAAUGGUAUCUACAACAGGAAGCGAAACAGCGAUGUUAAGCAAAUCCUUAAAAGAUACCUCAGUUCGGAUUGCACUCUGCAACUCGAGUGCAUGAAGCUGGAAUUACUAGUAAUCGUGGAUCAGCGUGCCACGGUGAAUGCGUUCCCGGGUCUUGUACACACCGCCCGUCACACCAUGGGAGUUGGUUCUACCUUAAGGCAAGGUUUAAUACCCUUGACCACGGUAUAGUCAGCGACUGGGGUGAAGUCGUAACAAGGUAACCGUA